rnacentral:lncRNA from 12 species
UUCUCAAACACCUCCACAUUCCAGUCUCUUCAGAAUGCAGCUGUAAGUGAUGCAGUGAAGCACUGAAUACCAUACCGCAGAGUUGGCAGCCUGAAUGCAGAUUUGCAUUAGUGACAAAGUUGUACCAAGUCCCUCUUGGGUCCCUGGAUAUCCUGAGGCCAAUUUCAGGUGGGAAGUUCAGUUGGAAACAACCAGGAUUCUCACUCAUUUUGAAAGGUCUUCUCAUGCUGGGCCUUAGCUCCCUGCCAGGUGAGUUAUAAAGCUCUACUACCAGUUGCUGAGUCACAAAUAAGUUUUCGAAAUAAUGCCCCUCCUUAGAAGUUCAGAGCGCGUGUCAGCAUAGUAAAGCCUCUGAGAAGCUCUACAGCAAAGCAGCCUGUUUGACUGUGAUUAACUCUGCAUGCCCAACUGACAUUUUUUUUAAAAAAAUAGAAUGACUGUCAACAUCUUAUGGGGGCAUUAAUCUUUUCUUGAAUAUAUUUUGGGACAUGUUUUUCUAAAUUACUGCUUAUAAUAUUUAUGCCUCAAGAUUAGCUUAUGGCAGGAAAGAACAAGUUCACAAUUUGAUUAAUUAUGCUUUCUUCUGAUUUUUGUUUGUAAGAUUUGGUUUGGCUUAAAGAUACUCCACCGUUGACAAGUGGCGAUUAGCAAAUAAAAUUAUGUUUGGGAAAAAAUUAUGUUUGGAA